UUGGGAAUAUUGGACAAUGGGGGAAACCCUGAUCCAGCAAUGCCGUGUGAGUGAUGAAGGCCUUCGGGUUGUAAAACUCUUUUGGUAGGGACGAAGGGAAACUUGACGGUACCUACAGAAUAAGCACCGGCUAACUACGUGCCAGCAGCCGCGGUAAUACGUAGGGUGCAAGCGUUGUUCGGAAUUACUGGGCGUAAAGCGUGUGUAGGCGGUUACUCAAGUCCGAUGUGAAAUCCCGGGGCUUAACCCUGGAAGUGCAUUGGAUACUGACUAACUAGAGGACGGUAGAGGUAAGUGGAAUUCCUGGUGUAGGGGUGAAAUCCGUAGAUAUCAGGAGGAACACCGGAGGCGAAGGCGACUUACUGGUCCGUUACUGACGCUGAGACACGAAAGCGUGGGGAGCAAACAGG
rnacentral:rRNA from 1 species